GUGGGGAAUAUUGGACAAUGGGCGAAAGCCUGAUCCAGCCAUGCCGCGUGUGUGAAGAAGGUCUUCGGAUUGUAAAGCACUUUAAGUUGGGAGGAAGGGCAGUAAGUUAAUACCUUGCUGUUUUGACGUUACCAACAGAAUAAGCACCGGCUAACUUCGUGCCAGCAGCCGCGGUAAUACGAAGGGUGCAAGCGUUAAUCGGAAUUACUGGGCGUAAAGCGCGCGUAAGUGGUUUUGUAAGUUGGAGGUGAAAUCCCCGGGCUCAACCUGGGAACUGCCUCCGAAACUGCAUGGCUAGAGUACGGUAGAGGGUGGUGGAAAUUCCUGGGUAGCGGUGAAAUGCGUAGAUAUAGGAAGGAACACCAGUGGCGAAGGCGACCACCUGGACUGAUACUGACACUGAGGUGCGAAAGCGUGGGGAGCAAACAGGAUUAGAAACCCCAGUAGUCC
rnacentral:rRNA from 1 species